rnacentral:rRNA from 1 species
AAAAUAUUUUGUGAACCAUUAUCUGAUCUAUAAACUCCAAGUGGAUACUAUACUGCAGUGCCCUUUACUUCUUAAUAGAGUUCAUACCUAUGAAAGCCGUUCCAAACCCCAAAUUAUAGUAGAAGAGCAUGCUAAAUUCUCAUCUUAUUUCUUUUCAAAGAUAUCAUGCAGACUUGUUGUGCAAACAUAAGAUAUGAAUGUACAAUCAGAAGUAUGACACUCGGAUAAAUUAACAGUCUUAUUUUUCAUAUACGGGAUUGGGCAUUGCUGUAGAUCAAAUUUUUGAAUAUAGCUUCUGAACUUUGGCACACAAUUGAUUCACAUAUUGUCUAUUUCAGAGAUAUCAUGUAGAUUCGCUUCUGCAAUCCUAAUAUAUGAACGAACACUCUGAAAUUCGACAUACACAAAUCCACACAUUGAUGUAGAAAUCUUAUGUAGUUUUUUCACUGUUGGGUAGGUGAACAUACAACAUCGUUUGACAUUAUUGCCAAACUUCAUUGUCCCUUUUCCUGUUUUUCUGCUCAUGCAUUAGACCAGGUACAAUGCAUUUGACACUGGUGUAGUCGCUAACAAUUUUGUGCUAAAAGCCAUUUGUUCUGUAUAUGUUGUCACCGCUAGGCAAAACUCUCGCUUAGUAUUGGAGACUGGUGCUAUCGAACACUUGAUUAGUUCUUUACAGAUAUCAUAUUUCUAACGACAAAUCCUAGGUUCAGAGUAAAUAAAUUGUCCUUUUCAAUCCAUCAGAUAUGGAAUCAAUAAGAAAAAAUUGUUGUCCCUAGGAUGCGUACCUUCUCUGCCAUGAACAUGGCUCUGUUCCGGAUUUGUUGGAGAUGGGGCUGCUCGAUUUAACAUCUCUGUCGGCUGCUGGAAGUGGGGAAUCCUGAAUCUGACGGCGAGGACUCAGAUUCAACAUCCAAAUUAGGGGAUCCGGUGCAUCUUUCAUACGGAGACCCGCAGCUUUCUUCAUGGCUCUCGAUCAGCGUCUCUGCAACCGGAGCUACUCUAAAGUUACGGUGGAAGGAUCCACCUGAUAGAUACUCGCAUCCCGUCGAGAGCUCCAAUUGUUCUUCAUGUGGCCAACAGAAGAUCGUUUUUUGGGGAGAAACGGGGCAUGAUUUGUUGGAUCGGAAAGGGCUUGGAUGAAUCAUGGAAGAUUACUAAUGUAGAUUAGGGAAGGCAUGGAGCGAGAGAUUGUUUGAAGAUUUUGGUGCGCAGGGUAUGUGUCCACCUAUUCUUUUUUGUAGACAAUCAAGGGUCCACCUAUUCAUUUUAUUAGACUAUAAAAAAACCUAUUCUUUUUAUUGUGGGACGGCUGUGACUUUUUUUAAUCAUGAGAUGCUUGAACAGAAUUGAGAGAUUAUUUGGGUGAUUUUGGUGCAUACGGGUCCACGUGGUUUAUGAGGAUCAAACGGUUCUAGUUUAUUGAAUGGAAUUGGUCCCAUCGAAUUAAAGGCCAGAUAUCUCUAAUUAUUGUGGAGUUUUCUAGGCUAAUUAUCUUUUUUCUGGUGAACCCAUCAAACACUUUUUAUAUAUAAAUAAAUGAGCUAGGAUACUCUCUUGAGUAUAGGCUCACGAAAUUUUGCCAAAAGAAUGCUUAUAGUGAUGAAUUAGUUGUGCAUUAUGAAGGGCCAAAGGAAGAACCUGUUCCUCCUGUGAUUGAUCUUGGGGACUUCCGUCCCGCUAAAUUUAGCCCUUUUGAUUACUUUUGCUUGCCUCAAAGAAAACUUGCUGUUGAACGUAGAGAAUAUGAGAUGAGUUUUCAAGAUCUAUCUUAUUAUUAUGGCACUACUUAGAUCUAUCUUCGCUUUUAUGCCUAGCUAGGGGCGUUAAACGAUAGCGCUAGUUGGGAGGCAACCCAAUUUUAUUUGUGUUUUUUGUUUUUGUUUCUGUUUAGUAAUAAAUUUUGCAUCUACCUUCUGUUUAGAUGUGUUUUUAUGUUUUAAUUUGUGUUUGUGCCAAGUAGAACCUAUAAGAUAACCUAUGGUGAUAGUUAAUUUGAUUCUGCUGAAAAACAGAAACUUUGCGCGCAUGAAAUUAGUUUUGUUAAAUCACACAAACGUGCUUUUGCGUUGAUUCUUUUUGUUGCUGAUCAAUAUACAAAUUUCCCAGGACUUCCUAUUUUGGUAGGAGUUUUAGAGUUCCAGAAGUUUACGUUAGUUACAGAUUGCUAUAGACUGUUCUGUUUUUGAUAGAUUCUGUUUUUCUUGUGUUGUUUGCUUAUUUUGAUGCAUCUAUGGCUAGUAAAAUAGUUUAUAAACCAUAGAGAAGUUGGAAUACAGUAGUUUUCACACCAAUAUAAAUAAAGAAUGACUUCAUUACAGUACCUUAGUGGUGGUUUUGUUUUCUUUCACUAACGGAGCUUAUGAGAUUUCCUGUUGAGUUUUGUGUUGUGAAGUUUUCAAGUUUUCGGUAAAGAUUUGAUGGACUAUGGAAUAAGGAGUGACAAAAGCCUAAGCUUGGGGAUGCCCAUGGCACCCCAAGAUAUUCAAUAAUAGCCAAAAUCCUAAGCUUGGGGAUGCCCCCGGAAGGCAUCCCCUCUUUCGUCUUCGUUCAUUGGUAACUUUACUUGGAGCUAUAUUUUUAUUCGCCACAUGAUAUGUGUUUUGCUUGGAGCGUCGUGUAUGAUAUUAGUAUUUGCUUUUUAGUUUACCACAAUCAUCCUUGCUGUACACACCAUUGGGAGAAGCCCACUUGAUUGAAAUUUAUUAGAAUACUCUAUGUGCUUCACUUAUAUCUUUUGAGCUAGAUAGUUUUUGCUCUAGUGCUUCACUUACAUUUUUUAGAGCACGGCGGUGCCUUAAUUUUGUAGAAAUUGCUAGUAUCUCAUGCUUCACUUAUAUUAUUUUGAGAGUCUCUUAGAACAGCAUGGUAUUUUCUAUGGUUAUAAAAUUGGUCCUAGAAUGGUAGACAUCCAAGUUGGGUAUAAUAAAAACUAUCAUAGGAAGUGAAUUGGAUGCUAUGAUCAAUUUGAUACUUGAUAAUUGUUUUGAGAUAUGGAGGUAGUGAUAUUAAAGUCAUGCUAGUUGGGUGAUUAUGAAUUUAAAGAAUGCUUGUGUUGAAGUUAGCAAGUCCCGUAUCAUGCACGUAUGGUUAAAAUUGUGUAACAAAUUUGAAACAUGAAGUGUACUUGGAUUGUGCAUCCUUAUGAGUGGCGGUCGGGGACGAGCGAUUGUCUUUUCCUACCAAUCUAUCCCUCUAGGAGCAAGCGCGUAGUGCUUGGUUUUUGAUGACUUCUAAUUUUUUUCAAUAAAUAUAUGAGUUCUUUUGACUAAUGUUGAGUCCAUGGAUUAUACGCACUUUUACCUUUCUAUCAUUGCUAGACUCUUUGGUACCAUGCAUUGCCUUUUCUCACCUUAAGAGUUGGUGCAAACUUCGCCGGUGCAUCCAAACCUCGUGAUAUGAUACGCUCUAUUACACAUAAACCUCCUUAUAUCUUCCUCAAAAUAGCCACCAUAUCUACCUAUUAUGGCAUUUCCAUUGCCGUUCCGAGAUAUAUUGCCAUGCAACUUUCCACCAUUCCGUUUAUCAUCAUGACACGCAUUAAUUUUGUCAUAUUGCCAUUGCAUGAUCAUGUAGUUGACAUCGUAUUUGUGGCAAAGCCACCAUGCAUAAUUUUUCAUACAUGUCACUCUUGAUUCAUUGCACCAUCCCGGUACACCGCCGGAGGCAUUCAUAUAGAGUCAUAUCGUGUUCUAGUUUUGAGUUGUAAUUCAUAUGUUGUAAAUCAAUAAAAGUGUGAUGAUCAUCAUUAUUAGAGCAUUGUCAAUAUUACUAUCUCUUUUUCCACACUUGUGCUUCAAAGUAGCACCAUGUUCUUCAUAUAGUGAGUCUCAUAUAUUGUGCUUCAAAGUAGCACCAUGUUUUUCAUAUAGAGAGUCUCAUAUGUUGUCACUUUCAUAUACUAGUGGGAAUUUUUCAUUAUAGAACUUGGCUUGUAUAUUCCUAUGAUGGGCUUCCUCAAAAUGCCCUAGGUCUUCGUGAGCAAGCAAGUUGGAUGCACACCAACUAGUUUUCUUUUGUUGAGCUUUCAUUCAUUUAUAGCUCUAGUGCAUCCGUUGCAUGGCAAUCCCUAUUCCUCAUGUUGACAACAAUUGAUGGGCAUCUCCAUAGCCCAUUGAUUAUCCUCAUCAAUGUGAGACUUUCUCCUUUUUUGUCUUCUCCACACAAUCCCCAUCAUCAUAUUCUAUUCCACCCAUAGUGCUAUAUCCAUGGCUCACGCUCAUGUAUUGCGUGAAAGUUGAAAAAGUUUGAGAUUAUUGAAGUACGAAACAAUUUCUUGGCUUGUCAUCGGGGGUGUAGAAUUUGGGAAUAUUUUUGUGUGACGAAAAUGAAGCAUAGCCUAACUAUAUGAUUUUGUAGGGAUGAACUUUCUUUAGCCAUGUUAUUUUGAGAAGACAUGAUUGCUUUGAUUAGUAUGCUUGAAGUAUUACUAUUUCUAUUGUCAAUAUGAACUUUUAUUUUGAAUUAUUUGGAUCUGAACAUUCAUGCCACAAUAAAUAAAAUUACAUUGAGAAUUAUGCUAGGUAGCAUUCCACAUCAAAAAUUCUGUUUUUAUCAUUUACCUACUCGAGGACGAGCAGGAAUUAAGCUUGGGGAUGCUUGAUACGUCUCCAAUAUAUCUAUAAUUUUUUAUUGUUCCGUGCUAUUAUAUUACCCCUUUUGGAUGUUUAUGGGCUUUAUUUUACACAUUUAUAUCAUUUUUGGGACUAACCUACUAACCGGAGGACCAGCCCGUAUUGCUGUUUUUUUGCCUAUUUCAGUAUUCCGAAGAAAACGAAUAUCAAACGGAGUCCAAACGGAAUGAAACCUUCGGGAGCGUGAUUUUUGGAACGAACGUGAUCUAGAGGACUUAGAGUGCAAGCCAAGAAGCAGCCGAGGCGGCCACGAGGGUGGAGGGCGCGCCCCCUGUCUCGUGGGCCCCUCGGGCAGCCACCGACCUACUUCUUCCUCCUAUAUAUACCCACGUACCCCGAAAACAUCCAGGGAGCCAACGAAAAACAAUUUCCACCGCCGUAACCUUCUGUAUCCGCGAGAUCCCAUCUUGGAGCCUUCGCCGGCGCUCCGCCGGAGGGGGAGUCAACCACGGAUGGCUUCUACCUCAACACCAUAG